rnacentral:rRNA from 1 species
UACGGAGGGUGCAAGCGUUGUUCGGAAUUACUGGGCGUAAAGGGCGCGUAGGCGGUCUGUUAAGUUCGGUGUGAAAGCCCCCGGCUCAACUGGGGAACUGCGCCGGAAACCGACAGACUCGAGUACCGGAGAGGAGAGUGGAAUUCCGGGUGUAGCGGUGAAAUGCGUAGAUAUCAGGAGGAACACCGGUGGCGAAGGCGGCCCUCUGGACGGAUACUGACGCUGAGGCGCGAAAGCGUGGGGAGCAAACAGG